rnacentral:rRNA from 1 species
AUUCCAGCUCUGUAAGCGUAUACCAAAGUUGUUGCAGUUAAAACGCUCGUAGUCGGAUUUUGGUAGUUCCGGAUGUGUGCGCGUCGUGCGCGCACUUUGCAGGGGCUGCUUUUGUGGGUAUGCGUGGCAUGAGGCGACUUUAUUGUUGAACGUGUCUACGCGACCACCUUUUACUGUGAAAAAAUUAGAGUGUUCAAAGCAGGCAUUUGUCGUGAAUACAUUAGCAUGGAAUAAUAGAAUAGGACUUGGUUCUAUUUUGUUGGUUUGUUGGGAUCGAGUAAUGAUUAAGAGGGACAGUUGGGGGCAUUUGUAUCCCGGAGCUAGAGGUGAAAUUCUUAGAUUUCCGGAAGACAAACAGCUGCGAAAGCGUCUGCCAAGGAUGUUUUCAUCG